rnacentral:rRNA from 1 species
UUAAGCAUAUCAAUAAGCGGAGGAAAAGAAACCAACAGGGAUUGCCCUAGUAACGGCGAGUGAAGCGGCAACAGCUCAAAUUUGAAAUCUGGCGCAAGCCCGAGUUGUAAUUUGUAGAGGAUGCUUCUGGGCAGCGGCCGGUCUAAGUCCCUUGGAACAGGGCGUCAUAGAGGGUGAGAAUCCCGUAUGCGACCGGCUGGCACCCGUCACGUAGCUCCUUCGACGAGUCGAGUUGUUUGGGAAUGCAGCUCUAAAUGGGAGGUAAAUUCCUUCUAAAGCUAAAUACCGGCCAGUGACCGAUAGCGCACAAGUAGAGUGAUCGAAAGAUGAAAAGCACUUUGGAAAGAGAGUUAAAAAGCACGUGAAAUUGUUGAAAGGGAAGCGCAUGCAACCAGACUUGCGGGCGGUGUUCCGCCGGUCUUCUGACCGGUCUACUCGCCGCUCGCAGGCCAGCAUCAUCUGGGUGCGCCGGAUAAAGGCGUGGGGAAUGUGGCCCCUCGGGGUGUUAUAGCUCCACGCACAAUACGGCGCCGCCCGGGUGAGGUCCGCGCUUCGGCUAGGAUGCUGGCGUAAUGGUUGCCUGCGACCCGUCUUGAAACACGGACCAAGGAGUCUAACAUCUAUGCGAGUGUUCGGGUGUCAAACCCCUACGCGGAAUGAAAGUGAACGGAGGUGGGAAGCUUCGGCUGCACCAUCGACCGAUCCUGAUGUCCUCGGAUGGAUUUGAGUAAGAGCAUAGCUGUUGGGACCCGAAAGAUGGUGAACUAUGCCUGAAUAGGGUGAAGCCAGAGGAAACUCUGGUGGAGGCUCGCAGCGGUUCUGACGUGCAAAUCGAUCGUCAAAUUUGGGUAUAGGGGCGAAAGACUAAUCGAACCAUCUAGUAGCUGGUUCCUGCGAU